GAUGAAGAACGCAGCGAAAUGCGAUAAGUAAUGUGAAUUGCAGAAUUCAGUGGAUCAUCGAAUCUUUGAACGCACAUUGCGCCCGCCAGUAUUCUGGCGGGCAUGCCUGUCUGAGCGUCAUUUCAACCCUCAUGCCCCUAGGGCGUGGUGUUGGGGAUCGGCCAAAGCCCGCGAGGGACGGCCGGCCCCUAAAUCUAGUGGCGGACCCGUCGUGGCCUCCUCUGCGAAGUAGUGAUAUUCCGCAUCGGAGAGCGAUGAGCCCCUGCCGUUAAACCCCCAACUUUCCAAGGUUGACCUCAGAUCAGGUAGGAAUACCCGCUGAACUUAAGCAUAUCAAUAAGCGGAGGA
rnacentral:misc_RNA from 1 species